UACGAAGGGGGCGAGCGUUGUUCGGAAUCACUGGGCGUAAAGGGUGCGUAGGCGGUCGGGUAAGUCUGAUGUGAAAUCUCACAGCUUAACUGUGAAACUGCAUUGGAUACUAUUCGGCUCGAGGGUUGGAGGGGGGACUGGAAUACUUGGUGUAGCAGUGAAAUGCGUAGAUAUCAAGUGGAACACCAGUGGCGAAGGCGAGUCCCUGGACAACUCCUGACACUGAGGCACGAAAGCUAGGGGAGCAAACAGG
rnacentral:rRNA from 1 species